GUCAUUCUUGAUUCUGUAGUUUUCGUGUAUGAUUGUUUGCUUCACCCGUGCAAUAUUUCUGAUUUUAUUUAAAAAAACGAAAUUUCUUUAAUCAUAUCUCUAAACUUAAAUUGUUUUAAUUAAGUUUUUAUUAAUACUAAUAUUAGUUUUAGUAAAAACAGUAACGGGGUUUCCUAAAAGUGACCCGCGCUCGUUUUACUUUAAUGAAAAAAAUCAAUUCGCGCUUAUUUAAUAUCUUCAUGAGACAAACUAUUCAAUUUAUAAACUGUAUUAAAGUGUGAUAAAAUUGCGCGCAAAUGCAAAACGUCCUCGGGAAAAUAUCGAUGUGCGGUUCGGACCCGGAGCUGUGUGUUCGGUGGGACUAUGUUAUUCCUCAGUGCCUUAGCAAUCGGAGUGAUAACAAGCCUUCAGAAUGGUACGGUAGAGCUGACGGCGACGGACAGUGACAUAGCAUCAACGACGACAGAUAUGGGCUUAAUAGAGACCUCGAGGGUACCUGAUAGAGGCGAUUUUGUAAACGUGACCAUUCAAGAACGGCCCUCGAUGUGGGACUUGUAUUUGAACCACUGCCCGCGUUGGAGACCCAUAAACCAUAUAUUUUUCCAAGUAUCAAAUGUGUUCUUCUUGCUCUCAUUUUUGGCACCCCACACUCCUAGUGGCCUCAUUUGGUUACGUGUUGCCCUUAUCCUAGGGUGCACGUUCUCGGGCCUGUGGGCUUGGAGUAUAGAGUGCUAUUUGGAUGCUGUGCUGUGGAAUAGUGCUUUCAUCAUUAUUAAUUUUGUGUACUUUGCUGUUCAGUUUUAUUUGAUGAGGCCUAUCAAGUUUCACAAGGAGAUUGAAGAGGUGUACGUAGCCCUCUUCAAGCCACUUCGGGUGUCGCGGAGGCAGUUCCGACGUGUUCUGAUGUGCAUGCGCAAUGUCAGGCACCUCAAGUGUCAUGAGCUGUACGCCCAUGAGAAAGUCACAAAGGUGGACAGUCUGUCACUUGUGCUAAGUGGAAAGUUGGUAGUGUCACAGAAUCAACGCGCACUGCAUAUAGUGUUUCCGCAUCACUUCCUAGACUCACCUGAGUGGUUUGGAGUUUCCACUGACGAGUUCUUUCAGGUCUCAAUAAUGGCGAUGGAGGAAUCACGUGUGUUGGUGUGGCACCGGGACAAGUUAAAACUAUCGAUAAUGUCUGACGCGUUUCUGCAGGCUGUGUUCGACCACAUCCUUGGCAGAGACGUCGUUCACAAGCUCAUGCAGGUGAGCGAAACAAUGGCUGUCAGUAACGGCCACCUGCCGAACAGUUAUGAGGAGGGCGAGGAUAAGCCAAUGCUCAUAGUCAAGAAGGCUGGCGAUGGGCCCGGAAUAACCGCAUUGCUUAAUCGACAAUUACAAGGCGAGCACGCGCCAUUGCUCCGAGCGCCGCCUGUGCCCGAGUGCUGAACUACGUCUUAAUCCAUAUUCCCUUUCCUUAUGACUGAUUGUUUCAACUUUGAACUCUAUGCUUGUAACAUAAGGUUGUUUUUUCUAUGACCGAUUAGAAGUUGAAACAAUUUUUGUAUUGUCAAAAUUUAUCCGUCCCAUUAUAAUUAACGAAUUUAUUUUAUACGGUGUAUUUUAUUGCUCAAUUGGUAUUUUAACAUGGAAACCGCUUCAUUUGAUUUCAAUUUUGAUAUUAACAAUUAUUAAAAGUAUUAUUUAAUAAGGAAUCGGUUUCAAAAAUCUUCAAUAUAUCAGCAUUGUACUCCUGUGUCCUUAUAUCAAUUUAAUGUGAUUUAUAUGUGUACGUGUUUAUAUGCACAUUAACCCUGAGUUCCAAAAAUAUACUAAGAUUUGGGAAAAGAAAUUAACAUUUAUGGCACAAUUAGUCCACUAUAUUUGAUACUCAUUCCCUAAAAUCAUAGACAAAUUUAAAAGCAAAUUCAUUCUCUUGAUUUCGACAUGUAAGAGAGUGAGUUUGCACUCUGUCUCAUUAGAUUUAAUGUUAUAUUAUAUUUAACCAUGACAUAUUCACUAGUAUUAAAGUACAAUUAAAACGUAUUACCAGUAUUAACGCACAAUUAUUUAGUGACUUAAGUAUUUAAAGUGUAUGUACGAUUUUAUAUUAGACUGAUUAAUCUCCUUGGAAAUACAGUUGCUGCGAUCGAUGGCGCUGUACCUAAUUGGUUAAAUUUUCUGACACAAACUUACUAUUUUCUAUAUUUGUUUUAUUCUAACAUAGUUAAAGCUUCAAUUACGGCUUUAGCUAGGAAACUAAUCGGCAAAAAUUUAUUCCUCCAUAAAUAUAUGUACUAACUCCGUCUAGAUCUGUGACCCAAAAUAGAAGUCUUGGAUCCAAAAACUUACACUGCAAAUAAAAACAUAGAUAUUUCGAAAUGAAAAACAAAUGAACAAAAAACUCGUCAAUGGCGAUUAUCUUUCAAACCUUCGUUGAUUAAUCAGUCUUUAUUUGCAUGUUCAUAUCAGAGUCCCUGUGCCUGUCUUAUAUCUUGGUGUGAUUUAAGUUCAUAUAAGUAGUCUUAACUCGCACAUGUAUAUGUAUUUAUAAGUAAUUUGGGUCGAGAUAAUCACGCUUGGCUGUCAUACAACAUCCACAGUUCCCGCACUUUGGCUUUGACAUUGACAGUGACAGAUCGACUUAGUGUUACUAGAUUUCAACUUGCUUUUCAUAUGACUCAAGCAUGGUGUAUCUUGACCUACCACCAUAUAUAAUGUUACCUUAUUCAGUAUCUAGUAUCCUAGUUCCCAUACCGUUACUCCUAAGCAUGUUGAAGAAUCAAGUGAAUCAGCAACAGAUCCGAACGCAUGGCGUCUUGGCAGAAUCGAAGAGACAGACCACGAAACACCAGUCUGAGGUCACGCUUUGCACCUGGCGGUUAGACCGCGCAGGCGCGAUCAUCGCUAGGGCGUUUAAGACUUUAUGUUGAUUGACAUAAGGACGAAUUAACAAUGUCCUAAAUAUAGGUGAACCUGCAGCGCUACAAGUUUGUUUUGGCAACUCUAUUUUGAGUUACUCUUUGAGGAGUGAAGGUUUAUUUUAGCGACACUAAGCCAAUUGUCAAAAAAUCCUUGAACGACUGUCUGAAUCAAUUAUUUAAUGAUCCGAAUUUUCUGAGUUGUCAAAGCGGUACGUGUCAGCUGUCAAUAUUGACAAGUAAUAUCUGUUUUUAUUGCAUUUGGUAUCUUAGAUAAUUCGGGGAUUUUUAAAUUAAUUGCUUUAAGUACACGAUUUUCGGCUAUGUUUUGCGGUUAGCUUCAGAGUUUCUUAUCGUUUAAAAAGAAUUGAAAUACUUUUCUUAUUUCUCUGUAUUUAAUCUUUUGAACUAUAAUAAGUUUUUUCUCUAUUUGUAUAUUCAUGUUCGCUCUGGCGCAUAUUUUAGUGACAAAAAGUCGGGAGUCAAAGUUUAAAAAAAUAACUAAAAAAAAAGUUUUUGUUUCUCGUUGUUGGUAAAGAUUAUAUACAGAGAAAUAGUAGUCUUCGCGUUUGAUAAACAAAAAUAGUUUUGAACGUUAGGCAAAUGAUAUUGGCUAGAUGUGCUUGAAUUUGUGAUUGGAACGGAUCUCUGUAGUUGUAUUGUAAUAAAUUAAGACGAUAUCGCGAAGUUUAACAAUGAAACCCGGAUACAGCGCAUUUAAAUCAAGUAUUGUUGACACUUUUUACACAGUACAGUACGAAAGAGCCAAUAUAACGAUAUAUAUUUUGUAUGCAAUUAUUGUUUAUUGGGUAUAAUACUAUCACGUGAAUUGGUUUUUCUGUCUCUUUCGUAUUGUAUGAUGUGAUGCAGAUAGCAAUAUUUUUUAUUUUGGUGGGGUUUUUAACGUCCUUCUAAAUCUUAUUUUAAUGUAGAAACAGUGAAUGUUGUUUUAAAUGCGCAUAAUCUAUCCUGAAAGUUGUUUUUUACAAAAUUAGGAACACAUUUAAGAAUAUUAAAACAGGCAAGAGGCAUAAAUAAUUUUUCUUUUUUCAUUCUUCAUUUCAAUCACUUGACUUCUUUAAUUAUUUAAAAAUUAUAUUUCACGCUUUUAAAACCCAAAAUUUAAAUUUAGAAUUUGUUUUACAAAUAUUUUUGAAGCAUUUUAAAAAAUUUAUUUUGCCUAGAGACAUUUAUUUUCCGACUUCGCGAUCCAAAAUCGCAAUAUAUAUUUGUAAUGUCAUAAACAAAUAUUAUUUUGUGUAAACUUUUAUAAGUGACUGGACUGAUGUCGGUUGAUUGUAAAUAACUAUGUACAAAAGUAGGUUUUUGGAUGUGCUAGAAAAAUAAAAAAAUAUAUAUUGACCAGAACUCAGUUGAAGCCAUAAAUAAUAAAGCAAAUGUAGGCUCAGCAAGUGGCGAGUAAAAGCCUGAUGAAACAAUCACACUUCUCUCAUUCCUCAUAUCAAAAUAGCAACAUUAUUUUUGAAUAUUAUCUAUAAUCAUUAAAAAAAAUAUCAUUUUAACUUGAUUCAAUGUCAAACUUCAUGGAGAUUUUUUUUGACAUAUCCUAAGAAUAAUUUGAAUUUACGUUAUAUUGUAAUUGACGAGACUACCCGUACUAGGAAGUCUAUAAUUUUUUUUCAAAAAUUGUCGUAUUGUAGAAUUUGGGCCAUCUAAACAUAACUGGUACUUGGACAUUUUGAAUUAUAGUCAACGCACAAAAUUCGCAUGAUUCGUAAAUAUGUUUAUAUGUGUAUUAGAUCAGAAGAUGGAUAUUUAUUGUAGUCGGUUCUAAACUAUCUUUUAAAUUAACAUUGAAUCACAUUUCAUUCACAUUCAAAAGGGUUGAUAGAAAAUAUUUGACAUUCCUGAUUAUUUGUAUUAGCUUUAAACAAUUGUAUAAUUUAUACAGACAAGUACAAUUAUUGCCAUUACAUAAUUUUCAUAAUGAUAUUUAUUAGUUGUAUGUAACGCUAAAUUUUGUUAAAAUGACUAUUUAAUAAUAAUAUCAUACGCACUGCCAUUGCAAAUGUUUGUAGCUAAUUGAUUCAUAUGAAUAUGUUGGAUCUUGGUGUGUGAAUAACAAUUACCAUUUAACUAAUUGGUUACUUAUCAAUUGUUCAAGAAUUGAAAUGAAAAAAAAGAUGAUAAUAUUGUGAAGGUCAAACACUUUUUGCAAAAGGCUCUUGCUUUUGUUAUUACAAUAUAUUAAUUAUUAAACUAUCUGUUUAAAUAAAUAUUUUGUAUGAAAUUAUAUUUGAACAUGAAUUUAUCUUGGAAACUUUCAGCUCUUGAAUCGUUGAACAACAAAUAUAUACUAGAUGUACUAAUUAAAGGUAAAGGUUUAUAAAUUGAAAGAUUUUAAUUCUGAAAGUACAUUGAAUUGAAUGAAUAAAGAUUUAAAAAAAUUGAUAAUGUAACCUUGGUGAUUGUUCACUUCUAGAAUGCCUUAAAAAGUUGCCAUGUGUGAUAAUGUAAAUUAUGUGUGGUUGGUCAUUUGAAUCAUUGUAGCAUAUGUUAAUAAGAUAGAAAAUUAAAUUACCUUAUGAAUUGUGUAAA